rnacentral:snRNA from 12 species
AGCCUCGCAUUAAGCACAAAGCGAACUAUUCUUUCGCCUUUUACUAAAGAAUACCGUGUGCUUGUUGCAAUAAAAGGCAGACGCUAAUUUUUUGAAGGGAUUCUUUCAUUUGAAAGGAAC